rfam:Asian citrus Psyllid, Diaphorina citri - Florida Strain, whole genome shotgun sequence.
CCUUCGGUAGCUCAGUUGGUAGAGCGGUGGACUGUAGUGUUCUAUUUCUUGGUAAUCCAUAGGCCGCUGGUUCAAAUCCGGCCCGAAGGA